rnacentral:rRNA from 1 species
UGGGGAAUAUUGGACAAUGGGCGCAAGCCUGAUCCAGCCAUGCCGCGUGGGUGAAGAAGGCCCUAGGGUUGUAAACCCCUUUCAGCGGGGAAGAUAGUGACGGUACCCGCAGAAGAAGCCCCGGCUAACUCCGUGCCAGCAGCCGCGGUAAUACGGAGGGGGCUAGCGUUGUUCGGAAUUACUGGGCGUAAAGCGCGCGUAGGCGGACUUUCAAGUCAGGGGUGAAAUCCCGGGGCUCAACCCCGGAACUGCCUCUCAUACUGGCGAUCUGGAGUUCGAGAGAGGUGAGUGGAAUUCCGAGUGUAGAGGUGAAAUUCGUAGAUAUUCGGAGGAACACCAGUGGCGAAGGCGGCUCACUGACUCGAUACUGACGCUGAGGUGCGAAAGCGUGGGGAGCAAACAGGAUUAGAUACCCCUGUAGUCC